rnacentral:lncRNA from 1 species
CGCGGAUAAUGUUUAAGCCAAGUUUCUUUCUGAGCUGAGAAGCUUCCAUAUAUUUUAAAAACCUUGGAUAUCCAGGCACAGCUUAUUUAUGAGCUGAGCUCUAAACACUCUGAGCUUGGCUUGUUUCCUGACUAACCCAUGCCUGAGCCCAGCUGUAACCAAGCCGGUCUAGAUCUGCUCAUGAGUAGCUUGGAUCGUUUGCAGCCUAGGUGCAGUGUGGUUCUCCAAAUAACAUAUACUUCCCC